CGUUCAAUUGGAAUACCACCCACUUUCCCUCAUUCUAAACACUCCAUAUUUUCUCUCUCACUCGGCAGAUAAAUCCCUCCUUUUCUCCAAAUCCACAAACCCUUACACCCAUCCCUCCCAAAUCCAAAUCUCCCAUUUUAUUUUUUCAGAGAGAUAACGUUAAGUUUUAGAGAGAGAGGAAGCUAUGGAUUCAGAUCAAGGCAAGUUAUUCAUCGGUGGGAUUUCAUGGGAAACCUCGGAAGAUAAGCUGAAGGAGUAUUUUGGGAGCUACGGUGAGGUUUCUCAGGCGGUGGUGAUGAGGGACAAGGCCACUGGGAGGCCCAGAGGGUUUGGCUUUGUGGUCUUUGCAGAUCCUUCGAUUCUCGAUAGGGUUCUUCAGGAAAAACACAUCAUCGAUGGUAGAACGGUUGAAGCUAAGAGGGCCUUAUCAAGAGAGGAGCAGCAAACCUCCUCUAGAGCUGGAAAUUUUAAUUCUGCAAGGAACUCUGGAGGUGGUGGAAAUGUAAAGACCAAGAAAAUAUUUGUUGGAGGGUUGCCUCCCACCCUGAGUGAAGAAGGAUUUCGUCAGUAUUUUGAAGCUUUUGGUCAUGUGACUGAUGUAGUAGUAAUGUAUGACCAGAGUACCCAGCGGCCUCGUGGGUUUGGAUUUGUUUCCUUUGACACUGAAGAUGCAGUUGAUAGGGUUUUAUACAAAACUUUUCAUGAUUUGAAUGGUAAGCAAGUGGAAGUUAAGCGGGCCCUUCCUAAAGAUGCCAACCCAGGUGGGGGAAGCCGUUCUAUGGGUGGUGGUGCAGGUGCGGUUGCAGGAGGUUAUCAGGGCUAUGGUGCUUCUGGGGGUAACCCAACUACAUAUGAUGGUCGAAUGGAUUCCAAUAGAUACAUGCAACCUCAGAAUACAGGAGGUGGUUUUCCACCUUAUGGUUCUUCUGGGUACAGUGCACCUGGCUAUGGGUAUGGUCCUGCCAAUAAUGGUAUGGGAUAUGGUGGUUAUGGUGGUUACGGUGGUGCCAAUCCUGGAUAUGGAGGCCCUGCUGGUGCACCCUAUGGAAACCCAAAUGUCCCAAAUGCUGGUUAUGCAGGUGGACCACCUGGUGCCCCUAGAAGUUCAUGGAACUCUCAAGCACCCUCAGGAUAUGGUGGUGUGGGCUAUGGAAAUGCUGCUUCUUGGGGUUCAAGCGCUGGUGGUGGUGCUGGAAGUGGUGGUACUGGUUCAGCAUCUUCAGGUCAAUCUCCUAGCGGAGCUGCUGGGUAUGGAAAUCAAAGUUAUGGAUAUGGAGGGUAUGGUGGAAGUGAGGGAUCUUACGCAAAUCCAACUGGUUAUGGUGCUGUUGGAGGGCGUACUGGUAGUGGUCCAAAUAGCAAUGCUGGUGGGGGAGAGCUACAGGGGAGUGGUGGUGGCUACAUGGGAGGUGGCUAUGGUGAUGCUAAUGGGAAUUCAGGAUAUGGAAAUGCAGCAUGGAAAUCUGAUCCAUCACAGGCUUCUGGAAAUUAUGGAGCUCAGACAAAUGGUCCUCAUGGUGGGCAAGUUGGCUAUGGUGGUGGAUAUAGUGCUCAGUCCCGACAAGCCCAGCAGCAGUAGUUUUGUUAACAUCAGUUUCCAACCGGUUCAUCAUCUUUGCAAAUCCAUUCCCCUUCCUUCUCAUGUGGGUUAUAAUGGUUUCUUAUUUCAAGCGGCAGAGGGGGUGGUCCUAGCAGGAUGUCAAGCAUGCUUUGGGACUGGAGAAAUGCUGGAGUUCUGAAAGUGGGGUCAAGUGUCCACUCAUGGCUGACAGGUGAUUCCAAGCCAGGCCAUGACAACACUGUCAAUUUCGUGGAUUCUUGCCUUUUCAAGUCAUCACAAAAUAUCCUAAUCUUCAUUCUCGUUUUGGUGGGUUGAUGGAUUUUUCUGAGGUGAACAGCCUGCGGUAUGUUGACAUGAGCAGUUGGCCAUGUUUUUCAGUUUAUAGUAUCAGUAUUACCUAAUCAAUUGGGUUGCCUUUUGGUUAUUUGGAAAAAGUAGAGUGGGCAUUUGUUCCAGAUUCUUUUAACCCAUGGUGUUUGAAGUAUAAGACAAAUUGUGACUACUUUUAAACUCAUUUUGCAUAUAAAAUGAUUUUCUAUA